GCAGUGAGCCGAGAUUGCAGUCUGGGCGACAGGGCAAGACUCCAUCUAAAAAAAAAAAAAGGCAUGAAUGAAUCUGGGGGAAUAGCAAAUGCAAAGGUCCUGAGGUGGGCAUCCACUUGGACAGUUCACAAAAGAGGCAUCUGAGGGGCAUUGGGAUACACCACCCCAAAAUAUGCCUCUUCGCAUGUGGAUUAUUUUGAAUUAAAGGCCAUUAAGAACCAGCAGACCACAGGAAAGGCUCUAAAAACCAUUUUCAUUUUGUAAAAAAAAUUCACAUUUAUUAUAAAGGAAAUUUCCACGUCUCCCUCUUCCAUGCAAGGAAGAGGAUAUCUUGUAACAACUCUUAUCAGUGGAAGAAAGUACUGACUUAAGUCUGCAUAACAAACCUUCCUAAACAACCCUUGUUUACCAUACUUUUCCUGGGCACCUUCUGCUGAGGUUUGAAUAUACCCUCCAAAACUCAUGUUGAAAUUUAAUUGCCAUUGUAUAAGAGGUAGGACUGUUCAGAGGUGAUUAGGCCAUGAGGCCUCCACCCUCAAGGAUAGAUUAAUGCCAUUGUGGGAGUGGGUUGUUAUAAAAAUGAGUUUGACCCUCUCUUGUUCUGUCUCUUUCACCCUCUCUUGUACUUCCACCCUCCUUCCAUGGGACAAUGUAGCAUAAAGGCCCUCACCAGAUGCCAAUGCCAUGCUCUUGGACUUCCCAGUCUUCAGAACCAUGAGCCAGAUAAGCCACUUUUCUUUAUAAAUUACACAGUCUGUGGCAUUCUGUUACAGCAGCACAAAUAGACCAAGACACCUUCCCACUACAUGCCUCCCCUGCCCAGAAGCUCCAGGCCUUUUCCUUUAUGUCAGCCUAAGAUGAUAGAUGAACCCAAGUCCUGACCACACUUUGGGUUAUUCAUUGCCAGGUACUGCCACAUGUAAGUGCAAUGCACAUGCCAAUAAACUUGUUUUUUUCUUGCCUGAUUGAAUUGUCUUUGGCUGGUGUAAUUAGAGGCCCCCUAGCUGGAGACCCUAACAUGGGCUGGGGAAAAGAUUUUUUUCCUUCUGUAAAUAACCAAGAGUUGGAUUCAGCUUCAUCUUCCAUUUUAGCAACAAAACUGCCAGGCUUCAGAACAGGCAAAAUGGAAAGAAAUUGGGCUAUGCUUUUAUUUUAUAUAAAGCUGAAAAGCAGUUUUGCCCUUCUAAGAGAAAGGAUUGUUCUGGCAGCCUGGAUCAGAGCAGUGAUCAGGCCAGAGCAUCUGCUAACCUCAGCAUCAGGGAAUCCCUGUUUUAGACUGUCCUCUACGUCUCUGUCUUCUCCUUUUGGGAGGUAAUUUUUAAAAAAUCACUAAGAAGGGAUGGAUGCUGGUUCUGGUUUCGUUACUGUUGUAGGGAGCUAUUCUGUGUUGCUGGAGAUAAUACAUUACCUUUAAAGUUCUUUUAUCUUUUUGUUUUUGAGACAGGGUUUCAUGGUGUUGCCCAGGCUGGAAUGCCAUGGUGUGAUCACGGCUCACUGCAGCCUCGAUCUCCCAGGCUCAGGUUAUCCUCCCACCCCAGCCUCCCAAGUAGUUGGAACUACAGGUGCAUGCCACCACGCCCAGCUAAUUUUUGUAUUUAUUAUAGAGAUGAGCUUUCUCUAUGUUGCCUAGGCUGGUCUUGAACUCAUAGGCUCAAGCCAUCCACCCAACUCGGUCUCCCUAAAGUGUUGGGAUUACAGGCAUGAGCCACUGUGCCCAGCCUGAAGUUCUUUAAAUAGGUAUUUAAGAUUCUGUCUGUAGCAAGUCCCCUGUCAUCUGCCUCAGAAAAAGAGAUGAAAGAUGUCUUGUGAAUGGAAGAAGAUGCUGUGGGACUUAGAAGCGGGGUGUGGAAAACAGACAUUUUUGGUCGGCUAGGCUUAAGCUUCUUGAGGACCUGAAGAGUGUCUCAUUGAUCGCUGGUGAAAUGAGUGACUCAGAAGCACCGCCGGCCCUUGAGACCGCAGGUGCGGAGGGAAAAUCUCUCUGGGAUCCCAGCAACGCCACUGGCAGAUCUGUGCUGGUCAAUUUCGUGUUUGCAAAUGAACACAGACCCAGGCUUUCAGGAAACAGAGAUAAAUAACAAAUGCAUUAUUUUUGAGAGGCUGGUAAUUAUAAAGCUCGAGGGAAUAAAGAGCCCACCAGCUGGAAUGACACUGUGGAACUGAUGCCCUCCCUCCACUGGGGUGUGUCAACAGAUAUUCUUAGUGACAUUAAUGAUUUUAACACACUGACAUUAAAGGAAAAAGAAUCUAUUGAAGGGCUGGGUUGCCCCUCCACACCUGUGGGUAUUUCUCGUUAGGUGGAACGAGAGACUUGGAAAAGAAAAAGACACAGAGACAAAGUAUAGAGAAAGAAAUAAGGGGGCCCAGGGGACCAGCGUUCAGCAUAUGGAGGAUCCUGCCAGCCUCUGAGUUCCCUUAGUAUUUAUUGAUCAUUAUUGGGUGUUUCUCGGAGAGGGGGAUGUGGCAGGGUCACAGGAUAAUAGUGGAGAGAAGGUCAGCAGAUAAACACAUGAACAAAGGUCUCUGCAUCAUAGACAAGGUAAAGAAUUAAGUGCUGUGCUUUAGAUAUGCAUACACAUAAACAUCUCAAUGUCUUACAGAGCAGUAUUGUUGCCCGCAUGUCCCACCUCCAGCCCUAAGGCAGUUUACCCCAUCUCAGUAGAUGGAACAUACAAUCGGGUUUUAUACCGAGACAUUCCAUUGCCCAGGGAGGGGCAGGAGACAGAUGCCUUCCUCUUGUCUCAACUGCAAAGAAGCAUUCCUUCCUCUUUUACUAAUCCUCCUCAGCACAGACCCUUUAUGGGCGUCGGGCUGGGGGACGGUCAGGUCUUUCCCUUCCCACGAGGCCAUAUUUCAGACUAUCACAUGGGGAGAAACUUUGGACAAUACCUGACUUUCCUAGGUGGACGUCCCUGCGGCGGCCUUCCGCAGUGUUUGUGUCCCUGGGUACUUGAGAUUAGGGAGUGGUGAUGACUCUUAAUGAGCAUGCUGCCUUCAAGCAUCUGUUUAACAAAGCACAUCUUACACAGCCCUUAAUCCAUUUAACCCUGAGUUGACACAGCACAUGUUUCAGAGAGCAUAGGGUUGGGGGUAAGGUUAUAGAUUAACAGCAUCUCAAGGCAGAAGAAUUUUUCUUAGUACAGAACAAAAUGGAGUCUCCUAUGUCUACUUCUUUCUACACAGACACAGUAACAAUCUGAUCUCUCUUUCUUUUCCCCACAAUCUAUGAGACCAGAGUGAUACUGAGAAGAAAUGAAAUGGAGAUAGGGAAGAAGGAAGCCGCUCCUCUCUACAGGAUGCCAAAUCAAUGCAGGAGGAGAUUCUGAGAACUACUGGACAACGGCCACAGGGGAACAGGGGAUUCAUUCCAUCUCAAAGCCUCACCCUACACAUUAUCUUUAUUAGCUAUAAAAGGGAAAAGGGAUUUGCAAUGGAGAGUUAUGGCAGACUCCAGCCUCAUGAAGUGACACAACUUAGCAUUGCCACCCAGGGGACAAACCCACACUAUGAGUCUGAUUCAGUGCACCAAGAAGGACAAACAUCACUUACUCUGCUAUAACAUAACGCAGUAUAUUAUACACUAACAUAUGUAGUAUAUUACAUUACAUAAUAACAUAGUACAGGCUUCUAGGACACAGUUUAUAGAAGUGCAGAUAAUACUUGAGGCAGUUUCCCAAACUUGCAAAUAAAAACUCUCCACAGGGCUUGUGACUAGCACAUUCCCAAAGCCCCAAACCCAGAAUUCCACCUGCUUAGUGAGCACCUCCAGAGCACUUUUUUUUUUUUUUUUUUUUGAGACGGAGUUUUGCUCUUGUUGCCCAGGCUGGAGUGCAAUGGCAGGAUCUCGGCUCACUGCAACCUCCACCUCCCAGGUUCAAGCGAUUCUCGUGCCUCAGCCUCCUGAGCAGCUGGGAUUACAGGCACCCACCUAAUUUUUGUAUUUUUAGUAGAGAUGGAGUUUCACCAUGUUGGUCAGGCUGGUCUUGAACUCCCAACCUCAGGUGAUCCACCCACCUUGGCCUCCCAAAGUGCUAGGAUUACAGGCACGAGCCACUGCGCUCGGCCAUCUCUAGGGCAUAUUUUUACUGUGCAAUGUGGGAAUCUCUGCCAUAGGGUGGGCUGCCUUUCUAACCCAGUGGCCCGGUUCUAGCAGGACUUCCCCAGUAUGUGGAUGGGGGCACAGGGACUCUUGGGGGGGCCUCAAGGCAUCUGUGAGCUAGGCCUAACCACCGCUACUGAAUGACUGCGAGAUGAGUCCCAGAGCUGGGACGAGAGUGGGCCUGGUACCCUGCCCCAGCCCUCCCCUGACAGGAGUUAGUAAGGGACAGGUUAGCAUGCUAAAGAGAUAGCAAGCUGGUCACAGCCUAGGGCCACCACCCUUCUGUCUUACAAGUCAGAAACAUGUCCUGACUUUGGGGGAGAGGGUAUAUGUUAAACGGGCCCACCCUGGGAGCUGUAGUGGUCACUGUGGAGCUGAGCACUGGGCUGCACUCCUCGCUGCCCCAGAGUGACCAGGUGGGUGGUUUCAUCCAAGAGGCAGGGCUCAGAAGGCCAGGCUGAGCCACCGAUAUGCAUGUCUGCACCCCACCACUUCCUGCUCAGUCUGUAUCAGGCCCGGGAUGAAAUCGUCACUUAGACGCUCAGGGGUCCUCCCACCCAUCUGGCCAACACAAACCUGCCAGCAUAGCACUGAGUGGAAGGUUCCAGUGCACCCACAGGCCUGGCUGUUAAAAUGUCCGGCCUCUCCAGAGGACAGGUUAAGUUCACACUGAGAAAGCCUGGCUCUCUCCAGCUAGCCUGAAUUAAAGUGAGAAGGAUGAGCACAGCACCUGUGGAAAUGGCGCUGGAAAGCAAGUGUACCUAGGAACUGCCUCUGGGCCACCGAAGUGCGCCGGCCCAGUGUUCUCAGACAACCCAGGAGGAGUCCUCCAUCUGGCCACUUCCCACCCGUUAGGCCCCGAGGGGACACCAGGUUGGUGAGACCCGGACCCCACCAGCAAAGGACCCUUCCUUCAUUCAUCACACACUGGCUCCAUCUGCACUGCACCUACUGCCAGCCAGGCACUGAGCUUCACAUCCGCACAAAACACAAAGACCUCUGAUACGGUUUGGGUCUGUGUUCCCACCUAAACCUCGUGGUGAAUUGUGAUUAUGUUGAGUUGUUUUGGAGGUAGGGCCUGGUGAGAAGUGACUCGAUGAUGGGGUGGAUUUCUCAUGAAUGGUUUAGCACCAUCUCCUUGAUGCUGUUCUUAAGAUAGUGAGUUUUCACGAAAUCUGGUUGUUUAAAAGUGUGCGCCCCACCCCUUGCUUCUGCUCUGGCCAUGUGAUCUGCCUGCCUUCCCCUUCGCCUUCCACCAUGAUUGUAAGAUUCCUGAGGCCUCCCCAGAGGCUGAGCAGAUAUCGGUACUACGCUUGCUAUACAGCCUGCAGAACUAUGAGCCAAUUAAACCUCUUUUCUUUAUAAAUUACCCAGUCUCAAGUAUUUAGAGCAAUGCAAAAAUGGACUACUACAACCUCACGGUUCUGGAGGCUGAAAAGUCUAAGGAUGGAGUGUCCUUCUCAGUGUGCAGUCAAGAUGCCGGCAGGUUUGGGGCCUGGUGAGGCUCUUUGCUUCUUCCAUGGUGUCUUUUGCACGGUGCGUCCUCCGGAGGGGAGGAAGGCUGCAUGCUUACAUGGCAGAAGGUGAAAAGCCAAGAGAGAACCCACUCCCAAAGCCCUCUCAGUAAGGCAUUAAACCCACCAUAAGGGUGCAGCUCUCAUGGCUUAAUCGCCUCUUAAAGGCGCCACCUCCCAAUACCAUUACACCAGCAAUCGAAAUUCAACACGAGUUCUGGAGGGGAAGGCAUUCAAACCCUUGCCCCUUCUCUGAACCGGUGGGACUUGCCCAGCAUGCCAGACUGCCUGGGCUCUGACUCCUUCCUCAGCCUGUGUCACUACGGCCCACAGUUGCAUCAAAGCAUGCUGCUCUCCAUCUCCAGACUCCCAGCCUGGCAUUUCCAAUAUUCUCCCCUUUCACAGCCCCUCAAAUCCAAAUCCUACAGCAAAUGCCGGAGAUUCUAUUUCAGUCCUUUCUUGUCAGGACUGACAGUGUCAGCUGGAGCCCCUGUCCUUUGGGACACCUGUGAAAUGGUCCUGAACACCUCAAGUUGGACCCCCUCAAUAUCAGUUUGGGGGUGUCCCUGAUGUCACCCACUAACCCUAAUGUGCUUCUCAGCGCCUUCAGUUUCCACAUCAACACAACUCCUUAUAGGUUAGUACAAUCCCUUUGAAAAACUGGCAGUGUUCACUGAACAAAUGCCUCCCUAUGACCCAGCAAUUCUACUCCAAAGAAAACACCCAACAGAAAUGAAUACUUAUGCUCACCCCAAGGCAAGUACAAGAACGUUCAGAACAGCCCUAUUCAGAACAGUCCCAAACUGGAAAUGAUGCAAACGUCUGUCAUCACUGGAAUGGAUAAAUACACUGUGGCAUAUUCACACCAACACAAGGAUGAGUCACCUACGACUUCGCUCUCCCACAUGGAUGAGUAAUGCUGUGUGAGGGACCAGCCCAAAAGAGCACAUCCUGUUCCCCAAAGCCCUCAGGCGUCAGACCUCUACCCUGUUAGGAAGGACAGUGGCUGAACCUCCCGCUGCAUGCAACUGGAGGGGCUGUGAGGAGUGGGGUCUGGAGAAGCUCUUCAUUGCAGUCUGGUGUAUGCAAGUGUGACAGUGUACUAUGGGCACACUUGGCAACCACCACCUGUGGGCAGCAUCUGUGGGUGUGACAGACCUCCCUGGACCUGGGCCAUGGGCCUGCGGGGUCCCACAUCCCACGGUCAUGGGCCGUCCACCAUCUUCCUCCCUACCUUAUCUAAUGCCUCCUGGCCCUCCCCACACCCAACAGGGCUCUAGGUCCUUCGUUAAGGCCAGUGGUACCAGCGACACCCAGGCCUUCUCCACAAGCUACAAGGAAUCUGCCCAGCAGCCAGUCUUCCCAGGAGGAGGCCGGGGGCCACCGGCUCAGGACUUGCCUUGCAUUUUUUUUUUUUUUGGCAUGAUCUAGGCUCAUUGCGACCUCCACCUCCCAGGUUCAAGCGGUUCUCCUGCCUCAGCUUCCUGAGUAGCUGGAAUUGCAGGCACCCACCACUGCACCUGGCUAAUUUUUUGUAUUUUUAGUAGAGACGGGGUUUCAUCAUGUUGGCCAGGCUGGUCUCAAACUCCUGACCUCAGGUGAUCCACCCACCUCAGCCUCCCAAAGUGCAGGGAUUACAGGCAUGAGCCACCGCGCCCAGCCAUUGUGUUUUGUUCCUUGUGGGGAUGCACAUCCCUCUUCCAACCUGUGGCUACUGCUCUUGGGGUCCUGUUGCUGGGGGCCCUGCAGUAGACUCCACACAGGUCCUCCUGCCUCCUGGGCCCUCCUCAGAGCCUCCACAGGCUGCAGACUCCACUCCCCAGAUGGAGGUCUGAGCCCGGCACCCUUCCUGCAAACCACUACCUCACAAAAAAGACAAGAAUCCUACACCCCCAACCCAGACCCCUUCCUGGCAGGUCCUCAGGCUGGGCAUGGGCAGAGCAAAGACAGACUUGAGGAGGUAACCAGGGUGAAGGCAAACACUGGGCCAAAACCAGUGGGCAUCCUGAUGUGUGGAUUCCAAAGGGACCAGGCGAGCAGGGAGCAGUACUGAUGUCAGGGAGGCCGGAGGGAGACAGAGGAAGCCCGUAAUCAGGGAGCUUGGGAGCUGCCUGCUGGGCAGGGAGGAGCUGUGGACACCAAUCGGGCACUCUCAAGCCCUUCCCAGCCUGGCUGUCUCCCUCCUCUGGCCCUUCGGUGUUUCCCUUGGGAGUGGUGUGGGUCCCUACCUGGACUCAUCCUGAGGAAGCUGCCUCCUGGAGCAGGCAGGAUGCUGGAGCUCCGUGUGGCCGGCCCUGGUUCUCUGCGAAGCCGCUCCUGAGAGCCUGCCUAGUGCAGAAGUGCCCCGAGCUGGCUGCUCUUCCUGCCUAAAACGGGGCACUGAGCACAGGAGCCUCUGGAUCUGAUCCCCUGCCUGUUUUUGUACGGCUCUCAAGCUAGGAAUACCUUUUACAUUUUUAAAUGAUUGAAAAAAAAAUCCAAGUAAUCAUGGUGUUAAAAUGAUAUGAAAUUUGAAUUUCAGUGUCCAUAAAUCAAGUUGGGACACAGCUUCUCUCAUUCAUUUACAGUUGUCUAAGUUUCUGUCACUCUUCGGCAGCAGAGGUGAGCAGCCAAAACAGAGACUGCAUGGCCUGCAAAGCCUGAAAUAUUUACCGGCUGCUCUUUACAGAAAGAGUUGGCCGUUCACUACCCUGGAGUGUGGACCUCUGGGCGAGGAACCUGUAUCCGUAGCGCUGCCUUGCACGUCCAGGCUCACAGGUGAGUCCUCAGGAAGGAGUCCCGUUGGUUCUCUAUGCAGCAUGCCAGGCAACAGGGUGCUUGGGAGGGGAGGCAGGCUGGCCUGGGCAGGAGGAUUCUUGGAGGCUCCUUUAAAAUUCACUGCCUCACUCAGGGUGAUGCACAUUAAAACUCCAUGGAGCCAGGUGUGGUGGCAUGCACCUGUAGUUCCAGCUACUCCGAAGCUGAGGUGGGAGAAUCACUUGAGCUCAGGAGUUUGAGUCCAGCCUGGGCAACUUAGUGAGACCCUAUCUGUUCAAAAAAUGACAACAGCAUAAUAGGACAGCAGUACUCCCCCCAGAACAGUUAAUAUUAAAAUUACGGACAGUACCAAGUGCUAGCAUGGAUGUGGAGCAACUGGAAUCCUCACACACUGCUAAUGGGAGAGUAAAAUGUUACAGCCAUGUUGGUAGGUUUUUUUUUUUUGGAGACGGAGUUUCGCUCUGUCGCCCAGGCUGGAGUGCAGUGGCACCAUCUCAGCUCACUGCAAGCUCUGCUUACCAGGUUCACACCAUUCUCCUGCCUCAGCCUCCCGAGCAGCUCGGACUACAGGCGCCCGCCACCACGCCCAGCUAAUUUUUUUGUAUUUUUAGUAGAGACGUGGUUUCACUGUGUUAGCCAGGAUGGUCUCGAUAUGCUGACCUCGUGAUCCGCCCACCUCAGCCUCCCAAAGUGCUGGGAUUACAGGCGUGAGGCACCGCGCCCGGCCAUUAGUAGGUUCUUAUAACCGGUUAUAACUGGUUGGUAGGUUCUUAUAAAGUUAAACAUUCACAUGACAUAUGACCCAGCCAUUCUGCCUUUAGAUAUUCAUCCAAAAGAAAUAAAAAUAUAUGCCUAUAAAAGCCUUGCACAAGAAUGGACACAGAAGACUUAUUCAUUAAAGCUCCAAAGAGGAAACGGCCCAGGGGAAUAUCAACAGGCAAAUGAAGAAACAAAGUGUGAGGCAACCUCCCGUCACUCAACAGGUGGCUGAGGGACCCCCGCACCAGGGCAGCACCUGCUGGACUUGGGUUCACCAGCGAACGAGCAGGUCUGAUGCUCCUCUCAGGGUCUAAGCCGAAUCCAAGAAUCUGAUGAGUGUGAAGACACUGGAAGAACCUGAUCACGCAGGCUCCUUUCUCAAGCACCCCGAUGCCCGCAGGUGAAGGGGCACAUGCCAAGGACAAGCCCGCCUCAGCCCUGGACAUCGUUCAUCGCGCGAGUGAGCAAUGCUUGAGUGAGAAACCUGACAGCGGUGUCCCCAUAACUUCCACCGCCUCUGGAGCCACCCGGCAAAAGCCAGCGUCUGACAAUCCUUCAGUAAUAGUGAAGACACCUGUUAUAUUGCUGUCCAGCCAAAAGCUCCUUGUUGCAGGAUGAACAGCCCCAGUUGUUUCAAACAUGCCCCACAUCUCAUGGCCUCCACACAGGUCGUAUUAAACACCUCUAACAGAGACUGCACGCCAAGUGUGGCUCCUCAAAGACCUUGCCUGGGGACUCUGCCACUGAUGGCUGCGACCUGCACACUCCUGAGAGCUCCUUCCUGGAACUGCCUCAUUUCUCUCAUCAUCCUUGAUUUUUUGAGAUGGAG